rnacentral:rRNA from 1 species
UGGGGAAUCUUGGACAAUGGGCGCAAGCCUGAUCCAGCCAUGCCGCGUGAGUGAAGAAGGCCUUAGGGUUGUAAAGUUCUUUUGUCAGGGAAGAUAAUGACGGUACCUGAAGAAUAAGCACCGGCUAACUUCGUGCCAGCAGCCGCGGUAAUACGAAGGGUGCUAGCGUUGUUCGGAAUCACUGGGCGUAAAGCGCGCGUAGGCGGCUUAACAAGUCAGAGGUGAAAGCCUGGAGCUCAACUCCAGAACUGCCUUUGAAACUGUUAAGCUUGAGUGUCGGAGGGGAUAGCGGAAUUUCUAAUGUAGAGGUGAAAUUCGUAGAUAUUAGAAGGAACACCGGUGGCGAAGGCGGCUAUCUGGACGACAACUGACGCUGAGGCGCGAAAGCGUGGGGAUCAAACAGGAUUAGAUACCCACGUAGUCCCUGAGCGGGCUGGCAAGGCGCAU